GUGGGGAAUAUUGGACAAUGGGCGAAAGCCUGAUCCAGCAAUGCCGCGUGAGUGAUGAAGGCCUUAGGGUUGUACAGCUCUUUUACCAGGGAUGAUAAUGACAGUACCUGGAGAAUAAGCUCCGGCUAACUCCGUGCCAGCAGCCGCGGUAAUACGGAGGGAGCUAGCGUUGUUCGGAAUUACUGGGCGUAAAGCGCGCGUAGGCGGCUCAGCAAGUCAGGGGUGAAAUCCCGGGGCUCAACCCCGGAACUGCCUUUGAAACUGCUAGGCUAGAAUCCUGGAGAGGCGAGUGGAAUUCCGAGUGUAGAGGUGAAAUUCGUAGAUAUUCGGAAGAACACCAGUGGCGAAGGCGACUCGCUGGACAGGUAUUGACGCUGAGGUGCGAAAGCGUGGGGAGCAAACAGGAUUAGAUACCCGUGUAGUCC
rnacentral:rRNA from 1 species